rnacentral:rRNA from 1 species
UGAGUAACCUGCCCUUGACUCUGGAAUAACAGCUGGAAACAGCUGCUAAUACCGGAUACGACCUCCGAUGGCAUCAUCUGGAGGUGGAAAGCUCCGACGGUCAAGGAUGGGCUCGCGGCCUAUCAGCUUGUUGGUGAGGUAACGGCUCACCAAGGCUUCGACGGGUAGCCGGCCUGAGAGGGCGACCGGCCACAUUGAAACUGAGACACGGUCCAGACUCCUAGGGACG